AAAGGGAGACCUAAUUCAGGUAGGAGACGAAAAAAAAGUAGUCCCUACCAGGAAUCAAUCCCAAAAGGUCGGAGCGAGGCGAAAUUGGCUUUCAAACUAGGUUCUGGGUUCAAACAAGACCUGAAUCAGGAACAAGGGCUAUUAGCUCAGGUGGUUAGAGCGCACCCCUGAUAAGGGUGAGGUCCCUGGUUCGAGUCCAGGAUGGCCCACCUGCACAGGUGGCAAAAACAAGAGAAGCGAGGAAUCAGCACCUUAUCUUAUAUACAUAUAUAAGAGAGAAUGCUGGCUCUGAGUACAGAGUCCAGAGGAACCUUGAAAACUGCAUAGAGCUAGGUGAAAAAGCCAAAAAAGAAGACCGCAAG
rnacentral:tRNA from 1 species